GGCUCGGUGGCGCAUGGCUGCGCAUCUACUGCUGUUAAUAUGAGGCUGAUGAAGUUACGUAGAGACUCCCGUUCGAUUCGGGGCUGAGCCA